UGAGCGGAUCAACUAUCUUCUUCUUGUCUUAGUCUCACUAAUAUGGCCCGCCACAUCGGACAUGGGGAAGAGGGGAAACACCUUAUUAAGUAUAGUGGCGGAGAGUCGGAAACAUUUCCAAGCACCUGGUUUCAAGCUUUGGUCUGCUCGGAACUGUAGCACGCGGAGUCUACCACAGCCCGCGGCUGGCGGCUGGCCCUGCGUCUAGCGGGCUCCGCCGAUGCCGCUAAGGUCUGCUCGGCGCCGCAGCACCUGCUCCACCCAUGGCGUCGACAUGUUGAAAUCGCGUUGGUGCAGCAGCGUCGACGGCAGCAAGGCCAAGGUGCCGGACCUGGCCACCUGGGGCCUGGCCGCCUGGGGGUGGGAGGCGAUGGUGGUGGUGGUGACGCCGCAGGACGCAGGGUGGCCGAUGGCGCGGUCGGAGCCCGCGUAGGUCGCCGGCGGCGUGUGCCGAUUGGCGGCCCCCAUCUUGGAGGCCACCAAACUCCCUGUCCCAAUCCGGCGACAAGCGGUGGGAGGCGGCCAUGGUAGGAGACUGCCGCACAGUGGAGAAGGAGAUGUACUCUCCCGAGAAGAACGCGGAGUAGUAGAACCCCGUGCAGCUCACCCAAGAGCGCGGCUCCUGCGGGUCACCCGCCCUCGCGUCGCCUCCUGCACCGCCGCGGCUGGUGGUCCGCCAUGAGCUUUGCAUCUCCACUGCCGCGAGCUCGAGGGAGCAGACUAGAUGUAGAGCAGCUGAGCAGUGCAAAUUUCCUAGCUCCAUGUUUUUAUGUUCUUGAUUAUUUUCUUUUCCGCUUUCUUACUGGUCGCCGCGUCGCCCACGGUAUCUAAUUCAUGAGGAUUUUUCUAACUGUGAUUUCAUUUAUCUCUUUGUUUCCCAGGUUCUGCGUUCUAUAGUUCAAUUCGCUCUACAGAGGACUGCUACUUACAUUGGGGAUUUCAAAAAUCUGUCUUCUUCCUCUUAAUUUUUCUGUUAGUGCAGCACAGUUAGCUUCUGUGGAAGGAAUCUUAAGGCUGCAAUACUACGUAGGUAACCGCUUGGACAUGUCUUCCAUAUUUCCUUUAUCUAAAUUCGCAGUUUAGUUCAUCUGUGUAUUAUGCCGUGGAAUUCCUGUCAAUCUUCAAGAUUCGGCUUCUUCAAUGGAUCGAUUUCUAUGAGAUUCUGCACUUGGGUUCCUUUAGGAUUGAAUUUUUUGUAAUGAUUAGUACGGUGUUUAGCUGCAAUUUCUUUAGAGAAUGCUGCUUCCUUCCUUUUGUUUGUCAAAUUUGAAGCUUGAUUGAAUGGUCAUGGUGAUAGAUCAAUAAGUGAUCAAUCAGGAUAAUACAUACGGCGCUCAAAUUGGAUGUGAUGAAGUAAAUUGAGUUGACCCAUAACCUAUUUCCCAACAAAGAUCCAUCAAUGGUCGCCAAGAACAAGCAGAACAAUAAGCCAACAUUGACCCAUGAAACAAUGAUGGCAUUAGCAGGCUUUGAUCAAAGGUAGCUCCUGGCUGGAUUCUCCUUUUUAUACAUGUCUGGUAAGGUUCCUCUAACUUACCUUAAAAAAUAAGCCCCCUGCAAGUCCUCAUGAAUUACCUUUUUUUUUGGGUCUACGAGGAACUCCACCUUAGACUUAUACGACAAAGAGAAUAUGAUUGGUUUCACAUUAGGAAAAUCAGCUCUAUGAAGAUAGUGAAUUCUGCAUAUAUGAGCCAAGGCCAAGCAGUCCCAACCAAAAUAAGACGUGGCGGCAGUGUCGGACCUGCAUUUCCUGGGCUCGCGGCUGCUGAACAUCAACUGGGGCUUGGAAUUACUUGAACACACUAGGUAUGCUGCUUACCACAGUGUUGGUAUUCCCCAUCCUCUUGGUGUUCUUGCUACAACACCAAAGGCCAUGGAAACCACCUAUGAAAUCCAUGUCCGCUCCAAACCAUGCAUCAUCCAACAUUCACAAGCAAUAUAUCACUCAUGUUGCUUCUCAUCAACACACCGCAUGGCACCACAACAUCCUUAUGCGUCAUUUCUAUCCAUUCCUAACCACGACCAUCACCUGCCCAAGAUCAACCGUUGCAAUACAGUAACAAUGCAUCUACAAAAUGAUGCUCCGGCCACAAGAUGUGAUCCCAGUUUUUAUUACAAAAAAAGGCAAGAUUAUGACACUCCCCGGAGCGCCAACAAAAACUUAAUACAAAUAAGCAUCAGGCAUAUUCUCUUAUUUAUUCAGGAAUCAAGUAAGCAUUCUCUUAUUUAUUUCAGGAAUCAAGUAAGCAUUAGUUUUUGUAUGCAUUUUACAAAUUCACAUGGCCUGCAGGUAAUAAGAGCCGCGAAAGACACAAGAACUUCAUGAUCGAUUUUUUUCCGGACCAAUAAAAUGUUUAGCUGUAGAAUCUCCCGACAAAUAUGUACUUCUGCAUUUAAAUUUCAAUGCAAAUUAUAGAUACUAGCUUUAAAUUCCUAUUUUGUCCAAAUAAAUAAUAUCUUCCGUGAUAAAUGUACUAUUACAAACAUAUAAAUUUGAAAUUUAACUCUAUCGGGAAAAAUAAGAUAAAGGUGCACGCAAAGUAUUUUACAUGAAGAAUAAUUGUACUGCACCAUAUAGAGCAAAACCAUGCCAGUGCUUAGAGCACUGAGCCAAAUUGGAAAAAGGUUGCCAGCAUCUGCUCCUGCCUUGAUACCAUGCAAUUAACACAAACUUAUCACUAAUUCGAAUUAAAUUGCAAUGA